rnacentral:rRNA from 1 species
GACGAACGCUGGCGGCGUGCUUAACACAUGCAAGUCGAACGAAGUGGCGAACGGGAGAGUAACGCGUAAUCAACCCGCCCUUCAGAGGGGCACAACAGUUGGAAACGACUGCUAAUACCGCAUACUGAAGUAGGGGAUUGCGUCUGAUUGGCUAGUGGGAGGGGUAACGGCCCACCAGGGCGAUGAUCAGUAGCCGGUCUGGGAGAGUAACCGGCCACAUUGGGACUGAGACACGGCCCAGACUGCUACGGUAGGAAGCAGUGGGGAAUCUUCCGCAAUGGACGAGAGGAUGACGGAGCAACGCCGCCUAGGUGAUGACGGCCUUCGGGUUGUAAGGAUCUGUUAAUCGGGACGCGGUACCGGAAUAGAAAGCCACGGCUAACUACGUGCCAGCAGCCGCGGUAAUAC